UACGGGGGGGGCAAGCGUUGUUCGGAAUUACUGGGCGUAAAGGGCUCGUAGGCGGCCAACUAAGUCAGACGUGAAAUCCCUCGGCUUAACCGGGGAACUGCGUCUGAUACUGGAUGGCUUGAGUUCGGGAGAGGGAUGCGGAAUUCCAGGUGUAGCGGUGAAAUGCGUAGAUAUCAAGAGGAACACCUGCGGCGAAGGCGGGUUGCUGGGCCGACACUGACGCUGAUGCGCGAAAGCUAGGGGAGCGAACGGG
rnacentral:rRNA from 1 species